CCUACGGGAGGCAGCAGUGAGGAAUAUUGGUCAAUGGACGAGAGUCUGAACCAGCCAAGUAGCGUGAAGGAUGACUGCCCUAUGGUUUGUAAACUUCUUUUAUAUGGGAAUAAAAUGUUCCAAGUGAGGGAUUUUGUAUGUACCAUAUGAAUAAGGAUCGGCUAACUCCGUGCCAGCAGCCGCGGUAAUACGGAGGAUCCGAGCGUUAUCCGGAUUUAUUGGGUUUAAAGGGAGCGUAGGUGGAUUGUUAAGUUAGUUGUGAAAGUUUGCGGCUCAACCGUAGAAUUGCAGUUGAAACUGGCAGUCUUGAGUACAGUAGAGGUGGGCGGAAUUCGUGGUGUAGCGGUGAAAUGCGUAGAUAUCACGAAGAACUCCGAUUGCGAAGGCAGCUCACUGGACUGCAACUGACACUGAGGCUCGAAAGUGUGGGUAGCAAACAGGAUUAGAUACCCUUGUAGUC
rnacentral:rRNA from 1 species